rnacentral:tRNA from 1 species
GCCUCUGUGGCUUAGUGGUAGAGCAGUUACGUUAUUGCGCUAAAAGCAGCUGACUUGUAAUCAGCAGGCCGAGGGUUCAAGUCCCUCCAGAGGCU